GUCUAUGGCCAUACUACCCUGCCCUUGGAAGCUAAGCAGGGUCGGCCCGGGUCAGUACUUGGAUGGGAGACUGCCUGGGAAUAUCAAGGGUGCUAGGCU
ensembl:rRNA 5S_rRNA 5S ribosomal RNA